AUGAGGUGUUUACAGAGAGGUAAUUGAUAAUCAGGUGAGCUGAACUAAGGGUUUACAGAGAGGUAAUUGAUAAUCAGGUGAGGGUUUACAGAGAGGUAAUUGAUAAUCAGGUGAGCUGAACUAAGGGUUUACAGAGAGGUAAUUGAUAAUCAGGUGAGUUGAACUAAGGGUUUACAGAGAGGUAUUGAUAAUCAGGUAACUGACUAAGGGUUUACAGAGAGGUAAUGAUAU
ensembl:lncRNA